rnacentral:tRNA from 1 species
UGGCUGAGACGGUAAAGCAUCUGUCUACAAUGCGGGAGACCCAGGUUCGAGCCCUGG